rnacentral:rRNA from 1 species
CCUACGGGAGGCUGCAGUGAGGAAUAUUGGUCAAUGGACGAGAGUCUGAACCAGCCAAGUAGCGUGAAGGAUGACUGCCCUAUGGGUUGUAAACUUCUUUUAUAUGGGAAUAAAAUGUUCCACGUGUGGGAUUUUGUAUGUACCAUAUGAAUAAGGAUCGGCUAACUCCGUGCCAGCAGCCGCGGUAAUACGGAGGAUCCGAGCGUUAUCCGGAUUUAUUGGGUGUAAAGGGAGCGUAGGUGGAUUGUUAAGUCAGUUGUGAAAGUUUGCGGCUCAACCGUAAAAUUGCAGUUGAAACUGGCAGUCUAGAGUACAGUAGAGGUGGGCGGAAUUCGUGGUGUAGCGGUGAAAUGCUUAGAUAUCACGAAGAACUCUGAUUGCGAAGGCAGCUCACUGGACUGCAACUGACACUGAGGCGCGAAAGUGUGGGUAUCAAACAGGAUUAGAUACCCUUGUAGUC